CAGCAUUCACCCUGGGGCGGGGCCUCUGGCACUUCACGGUCAUGCCUUUUGGCCUGUGUAACGCGGCCGCCACCUUUGAACGGCUGAUGGAGUGGGUCCUGUCAGAUGUGUCCAGGAGCCGGUGCAUCGUCUACCUGGACGACCUGCUGGUACACGCCUCCUCCUUUGAGUCUGCGCUGGCAAAUCUGAAGGAGGUGUUUGCUGCCAUCCGUGCGGCCGGGCUGAAACUGCACCCCGCGAAGUGCAACCUCCUCCAGCGGCAGGUGAAAUUCCUGGGCCACGUCGUGGACGCGAAUGGAGUGUCCACGGACCCCGACAAAGUGCAGCAGGUGUGAGACUGGCCAGCCCCAGAGAACGUGUUGGAGUUGCAGAGUUUCCUGGGGCUGGCGUCGUAUUAUCGCCGCUUUGUGCGUGGUUUUGCCGCCUCACUGCUAAGGGCACCCCGUUCGAGUGGACCCCUGAGUGCGCAGCCGCCUUUCACCGCCUGAGGGAGGCUCUGACGUCUGCCCCCGUCCUGGCUCUCCCGAUCCCUGGGAGAACUUUCAUCGUGGACACGGACGCCAGCGAUCAAGGCAUCGGAGCUGUGUUGUCGCAGGCGGGAGAUGGAGGUGAGAGGGUGGUCGCAUUCUACAGCCGCCGGCUGAGUCGCCCAGAGAAGAACUACUGUGUCACGCGGCGAGAGCUCCUGGCCGUGGUGGCAGGGAUUAAACAUUUUUGUCCCUACCUCUACGGGACCAGGUUCCUGUUGCGGACCGACCACGCCUCGCUCACAUGGCUCCUAAAUUUCAAGGAGCCAGAGGGGCAGAUAGCACGGUGGCUGGAGCUGCUGCAGGGGUAUGACUUUGAGGUCCAACACCGGCCAGGACGCCUGCACGCCGACGCACUUUCUCGGCGCCCUUGCAGCGCAGGCUCGUGCAGGCACUGCGUUCGGCUGGAGGAGCGGCGAGCGACUGCGGAAGAGACCUGCGCUGUGCUGGCGGCAGAUGUGGCGAGCGAUGGGGGAUCCGCUGACGACACAGAGCUGUUCCGCCGGGCCCAGGAAGCCGAUCCAGAGCUGGCGGUGGUGCGGGGCUUCCUGCAGUCGGGGUAGCGCCCACCCUGGACUGCUGUGGCCCCACACGGACCCACCAUCAAGUCG
rnacentral:lncRNA from 1 species